rnacentral:tRNA from 1 species
GGAUUAGCUCAGCUGGGAGAGCAUCUGCCUUACAAGCAGAGGGUCGGCGGUUCGAUUCCGUCUCGAGCCACCA